AAUCUCUUGUCAAAGAAUCACCACCAGAAAUGAUGAAGGAUAAAUGUGUUCGUCAUGUCUCUGAACCUGAACUAACAGGUGCUGGUGCAGAUCUUGGUGAAGGCUCUACGUCCCAUUCCCAGAUUGAUCAAUUGAGUGCAUGGAUGGAGACAAAAAACACUAAUUGAUUUCUUCUGUCUGCCCAAGCCUUGUUGGGUACCUGUAGAAUUAGCUGAGGUGUGCUCAAGCUGGCUCGAACACCACCGUCAUAAAGAAACAUUCUAAUUCUUCAUUUUACUGAUCCUUGACAUCUUCAAAAGCAAGGUUCUGGUAAAUAGUAACUACAUUUUAUUCUACUUUUCUUGACAUGUUUUCUUAGGAGCAAGACAACCGUGGAAACUGAUAAACAACAAGCACAGGAAGGAGGUCCUAAAUUCGGAAGAAUAUUGGCCGUUUUUUGUUUUCUAUUUGAAUUUGA
rnacentral:misc_RNA from 1 species